UACGGAGGGUGCAAGCGUUGUCCGGAAUUAUUGGGCGUAAAGAGCUCGUAGGCGGUCUGUCGCGUCUGCUGUGAAAACUCAGGGCUUAACCCUGAGCUUGCAGUGGGUACGGGCAGACUAGAGUGCGGUAGGGGAGACUGGAAUUCCUGGUGUAGCGGUGAAAUGCGCAGAUAUCAGGAGGAACACCGGUGGCGAAGGCGGGUCUCUGGGCCGUAACUGACGCUGAGGAGCGAAAGCGUGGGGAGCAAACAGG
rnacentral:rRNA from 1 species